rnacentral:lncRNA from 1 species
GGCUACAGCAAGCCCCCCUCCUGGCAAGAGGCCAGGACAAAGAAGAGAAGAAGGGUGUGUCCCAGGCUUUUAACCCACUUCCAAAGGGGAGUGGUUAAUUAACCUGAUUGGCUAUUGGCACCCAGGUGUGGCCAGGUAGGGGCACGAGGUCACACAGGGGCAUGGUGAAGUCAUGGUCUUCCAGCUAGAAGGAUGCCCUUUGACCACUGGGCUUCUGUCCUGAUAAGGGAACAUGAAGGUUUAGCCAAGAACCGCAACUAGAAAAACGAUUUGUACUUCAGCUAAGUCUUAAUUACUCCAACAUUGCUGGCAUUUUAAUAUUUAUGAAGAAAAGAUUGCUAAGGAUUCAUAUUUCACAUGCUUCUCCCUUCUUAAUUGAAGGAAAAAGUUCCUGAAUCCUACUGGACCUUGUAUCUCCUCUUUGACACUCA